GUAAGGAAUAUUGGUCAAUGGAGGCAACUCUGAACCAGCCAUGCCGCGUGCAGGAAGACGGCCCUCUGGGUUGUAAACUGCUUUUAUCUGGGAAUAAACCUGCUUACGUGUAAGUAGCUGAAUGUACCAGAAGAAUAAGGAUCGGCUAACUCCGUGCCAGCAGCCGCGGUAAUACGGAGGAUCCAAGCGUUAUCCGGAUUUAUUGGGUUUAAAGGGUGCGUAGGCGGCCUGUUAAGUCAGGGGUGAAAGACGGUGGCUCAACCAUCGCAGUGCCCUUGAUGCUGAUGGGCUUGAAUGGACUAGAGGUAGGCGGAAUGAGACAAGUAGCGGUGAAAUGCAUAGAUAUGUCUCAGAACACCGAUUGCGAAGGCAGCUUACUAUGGUCUUAUUGACGCUGAGGCACGAAAGCGUGGGGAUCGAACAGGAUUAGAAACCCCUGUAGUCC
rnacentral:rRNA from 1 species